UGAAAAAUGCAGAUAAAAGUAUUUUUAGGCAGUAUUGGUAAAUGCAUCAAGUCAGAAAUGCAGGACCAUUGAGAACAUCAUCUUUUAAUUGACCAUGGCACCACCAAGAUCAAGUUGAUAGAGUUGACAACUUAUUGCCUUUGCUUAAGUUUCACUUUUGACUCUAAAUUCCAGUAAAUUAAGGUCAUGAAUUUUGUAUCUAGGAGGUAUAAUGGGUUAGUGGCAUUCUUCACUAUCGGUGCUUUGAGCAUUUGCUUGCAAUUAGUGAUAAAGUGCUCCGGAUAAUGGUAUUGAAAGAUUGGAAGACAGCAUUAUUGUUGCAUAUUUGUCUUCUUAUUGAUUAUUAUUGAAUUUAUGCUAAGUUUUGUGCUAAUUUUUGACCAUGUACAAGAGAUUUCGGUCCCUUGCUUGCUCACUGAUAAGAGAGCUUUUGAUAUGGCUAGCCAUCCAAACUAUGGAGUCUCCGAUUGUGGUUGCUUUGGAAAAUUUAGAGACUUUGGUUGGGGUUGCUUUGCAGCUAUGCAGACAUGCCAGUGUCAUGGUUUUUUCAAUUGGAAAAGAAAAUAUAGAUGUUUUAGAAAAGAAUAGCACAAACAAGUAUAAUAUUUGGAUGAUGGCCGAGAUAAAUAUAUUUUCAAAUGGCAAAUCCUUUUGUUUGAUCCUGAUUUAAGAAAACUAUAUGCUCGUGACAAAAGUUGCUUCAGGGAUUAGGUUUUUAUUCUCAAAACAUACUAUUUCAUUAUACUUUUGGUUUAUAAUGUUUGUAUCAAAUUCACAAUGCUUUGCUACAGUGACUUGCAUGAAGAACAAAUAUGUAUAUACUAUAGAUAAAGAUGUACAGACAUAGAAACAUUGACGAGUGCUUUUAUAAUUUAUGUUUAAUUGGGCAUGUACUGUUUGGUUGCUAGCGCGCAUCUUGUGUAUAAAUUUCUUCCUGUAUAUAUAUUUCAACAAGUUAUAAUUUUGCAUAUCCUUGCAUUCAACCUGAACAAUUUAGCCUUCAGGUCAUUUCAGGGCUCCUGCUGGUGCCAUUGACUCUUGUGCUGACCAUCGUUGUGUUUUGGCAUGUUUAUCUUAUUCUGCAAAACAAGACCACAAUAGAGUACCAUGAAGGUGUGAGAGCUAUGUGGCUUGCUGAAAAAGGAGGUUAUCUGUAUUCACAUCCAUAUGAUCUUGGUGCUUAUGAGAAUAUGAUAUCAGUUUUAGGACCACAUAUCUUUUGCUGGGUAUGUCCCACCUCAGAGCAGAUUGGUUCUGGCCUUCGUUUUCGCGCGGGAGUUGAUAAGUUAGCAGGGAUAUCAUUUUAGACAUGUAGAGCUUGGAGUUUCAAUGAUUUUGUACUGCUGGUAGUAUUGGAGGCAAGGCAACAUGUCCUAUAUCAUUCAUUGAUGAUAAUCAAAUUCUGGUGUCCGCGUGCUUUCUUUUUGGAAAUACAACCAUUAAAAAAGAGUUUGUCUUGUGUAGCUCCUCCUUACAUCCAUGUUGUUGCAGAAGUAGUUCAAAGUUGACUGGGCUUCUGAAGCAGUCAGAUGUAAAAUAGGACCCUCCUUCUUAUGACUUUUUUUUUUCCAAAAGUACAGUCCUCAUGCAAUCAUGUACAAAUGACAGAGUUCUAGGCUAACUCACAGCAACUUCAAGUAGAAGAGAUAGGCCAAAAAUUGUAACUUAAAGAUGUUGUAAUAUUGUGAUUCUCAGGAA